rnacentral:rRNA from 1 species
UACGUAGGGGGCAAGCGUUGUCCGGAUUUAUUGGGCGUAAAGAGCGUGUAGGCGGCCAGAUAGGUCCGUUGUGAAAACUCGAGGCUCAACCUCGAGACGCCGAUGGAAACCAUUUGGCUAGAGUCCGGAAGAGGAGAGUGGAAUUCCUGGUGUAGCGGUGAAAUGCGCAGAUAUCAGGAGGAACACCAAUUGCGAAGGCAGCUCGCUGGGACGUCACUGACGCUGAGACGCGAAAGCGUGGGGAGCAAACAGG